rnacentral:lncRNA from 1 species
AUGGGGCCUGAUGGAGGCCCCGACAUGCCUAUAGAAAUUGGCCUUUUAGGACCCGCAGGGGAGGGUACAGGGCCAUGUCCACAAGAACAGAAGUGUGACUUUCUCAGGACCUGCUGGAGGAUUCUAGAGCCAUUGGUCGGAUACACAGCGACUUCGGCAGGGACUACUCAAAAACACAGGGUAAGAGAGGACCACGCAGCUGACACAUCUAGGGAUCCCGGAAGAGGAGGAGAGGGCAUGGCCACCACUACCCAAUGUCCCAUGACAGGAGGUGACAGUGCACACGACACUGCCCAGGGUCCUGUGACAGGAGGUGACAGCGCGGAAGACACUGCCUGAUGUCCAGCAGGUGGAGGGACAAUGCGGCUGACAAUGUCUGGUGUUCCGGUAGAGGAGGGGACAUCAUGGCUGCCACUGACCAGUGUCCCCAGAGAGAAGGGGACAGCACGGCCGACACAGACUGGUGUCCCCAGAGAGGAAGAGAUAGCGUGGCCAACACUAACUGGUGU